rnacentral:rRNA from 1 species
UAUUUUUUUAAAAAGCCUGACUUUUUUUAUACCGCGUGAGGGAUGACGGCCUAUGGGUUGUAAACCUCUUUUUUCAGGGAGGAAAAAAUGACGUGUACCUGAAGAAUAAGCAUCGGCUAACUCCGUGCCAGCAGCCGCGGUAAGACGGAGGAUGCAAGUGUUAUCCGGAAUCACUGGGCGUAAAGCGUCUGUAGGUGGUUUAAUAAGUCAACUGUUAAAUCUUGAGGCUCAACUUCAAAAUCGCAGUCGAAACUAUUAGACUAGCGUAUAGUAGGGGUAAAGGGAAUUUCCAGUGGAGCGGUGAAAUGCGUAGAGAUUGGAAAGAACGCCAAUGGCGAAAGCACUCUACUGGGCUAUCCCUGCCCCUUUACACGAAAGCUA